CCUACGGGGGGCAGCAGUGGGGAAUCUUGCGCAAUGGCCUAACGGCUGACGCAGCGACGCCGCGUGAGGGAUGACGCUCUUCGGAGUGUAAACCUCUUUUGACUGAGACGAAUUGUCAGCUUUAGCUGAUUUGACUGUAUCGGGUGAAUAAGCACCGGCUAACUCCGUGCCAGCAGCCGCGGUAAUACGGGGGGUGCGAGCGUUGUCCGGAAUCACUGGGCGUAAAGGGCGCGUAGGUGGCUUGAUAAGGGGGUGGUGAAAGUCCGGGGCUCAACCCCGGAUCGGCCGUGCCGAGUGUUAGGCUGGAGUACUGUAGGGGCAGGCGGAAGUCCGGGUGUAGCGGUGGAAUGCGUAGAGAUCCUGAGGAGGACCGGUGGCGAAGGCGGCCUGCGGGGCAGUUACUGACACUGAUGAGCGACAGCGUGGGGAGCAAACAGGAUUAGAUACCCUUGUAGUC
rnacentral:rRNA from 1 species